rnacentral:rRNA from 2 species
CAAAAACAUCGCCUCUUGCAAAAUCAACAAAUAAGAGGUCCCGCCUGCCCUGUGACUAUAUGUUUAACGGCCGCGGUAUUUUGACCGUGCGAAGGUAGCGCAAUCACUUGUCUUUUAAAUGGAGACCUGUAUGAAUGGCACGACGAGGGCUUAACUGUCUCCUUUCCUUAGUCAAUGAAAUUGAUCUCUCCGUGCAGAAGCGGGGAUAAACCCAUAAGACGAGAAGACCCUAUGGAGCUUCAGACACUAAAACAGCUCAUGUUAAAAACCCUCACAAAAGAGGCCAAACUAGAUGACCCCUGUCCUAAUGUCUUUGGUUGGGGCGACCACGGGGCAACAAAAAACCCCCGCGCGGAACAGAAACACUGUUUCCAGAACCAAGAGCACCCGCUCUAAGUAACAAGACCCACUUGACCUUUGAGAUCCGGCACAAGCCGAUCAACGGACCGAGUUACCCUAGGGAUAACAGCGCAAUCUUCUUCGAGAGCUCAUAUCGACGAGAAGGUUUACGACCUCGAUGUUGGAUCAGGACAUCCUAAUGGUGCAGCCGCUAUUAAGGGUUCGUUUGUUCAACGAUUAAAGUCCUACGUGAUC